AAGAAGUUUUGCUUUGGCUGAAUGUUUCGGAUCAACUCCUCAUAUUUGUGAUUCAAAUGUUUAUGAGGCUAGUGUUAAAUGUUUUUGUUGUAUAAGUACACUUUGUGCCUAAUUAAAUGUCGAUGGUAAAUAUGAACUUAUGUGUUUUAUGGAGGUUUUAAAAGACUUCUUAUGUUUAGGAUUUUGGAAUGAUAAGUUUAAUUCGUAUAAUGAUACGACCUCGUGAUCAAUGUUAGUUUUGUGAUUGUAUAAAUUCCCACACUUAUGGAUUUUAUGAUGUGGUUUCGUAUAGAUGAGUUGGCUUUGGAUUUUAUGAGUCUUUGAGUGUUGUGUCGUAUGAUUAUAACUACAAAGUCUUAUGAAUUGUGGA
rnacentral:lncRNA from 1 species